rnacentral:rRNA from 1 species
AAAUUGAAGAGUUUGAUCAUGGCUCAGAUUGAACGCUGGCGGCAGGCCUAACACAUGCAAGUCGAACGGUAACAGGAAGCAGCUUGCUGCUUUGCUGACGAGUGGCGGACGGGUGAGUAAUGUCUGGGAAACUGCCUGAUGGAGGGGGAUAACUACUGGAAACGGUGGCUAAUACCGCAUAAUGUCGCAAGACCAAAGAGGGGGACCUUCGGGCCUCUUGCCAUCAGAUGUGCCCAGAUGGGAUUAGCUUGUUGGUGAGGUAACGGCUCACCAAGGCGACGAUCCCUAGCUGGUCUGAGAGGAUGACCAGCCACACUGGAACUGAGACACGGUCCAGACUCCUACGGGAGGCAGCAGUGGGGAAUAUUGCACAAUGGGCGCAAGCCUGAUGCAGCCAUGCCGCGUGUAUGAAGAAGGCCUUCGGGUUGUAAAGUACUUUCAGCGGGGAGGAAAGUGUUGUGGUUAAUAACC